rnacentral:rRNA from 1 species
AUGGCAUACAAGAAGUUGAGCGACUUGACUACAAGCGGACAGAAUUGGAAUAUUCAAGUGAAAGUAAUGAGAAUGUGGGAUUCAGUGAAUCCUACGACCGAUGAGCUUAUUAGCCUAGAUAUGAUACUGAUGGAUGAGCAGGGUGAAACAAUCCAUGCUACUAUCUGGAAGAAUCUUAUAGACACUUUUAGAUCAAAGAUCAAUGAAAAGUCUAUUUAUGCAUUCAGCAAUUUUAAGGUCGUGGAAUCCACAAAAUAUAGGCCAGUGAGCAAUGAAAUUAAAAUAUAUUUUGCAUACAAUACAAAGGUAAACGAAAUAAAAGGAUCUUCGGAAGUUUUCCCGGAAUAUUGCUUCGAGUUUGCUACCAUGGACACACUAGAAGAAAGGGCGGAAAAAGAUACACAAUGCUCA